CGGGAGUAACGUAUGGGGAUCUGCCCGAUAGAGGGGGGUAACUACUGGAAACGGUGGCUAAUACCGCAUAAUGUCUACGGACCAAAGCAGGGGCUCUUCGGACCUUGCACUAUCGGAUGAACCCAUAUGGGAUUAGCUAGUAGGUGGGGUAAAGGCUCACCUAGGCGACGAUCUCUAGCUGGUCUGAGAGGAUGAUCAGCCACACUGGGACUGAGACACGGCCCAG
rnacentral:rRNA from 1 species